rnacentral:tRNA from 1 species
GCCUGGGUGGUGGAACUGGUAGACACAAGGGACUUAAAAUUCCUCGCCCCUCAUCCGGGCGUACGGGUUCGAUUCCCGUCCCAGGCACCA